AGACGUGUCUGUAUUUUUACACCUGGUUGGGAGAUAUCUGUCGGAGUAAAAACUACUGAUCUAAGCCAACUGAUUCUCAAAGAGUGGAAAAAGAAGAAGCAUGAGCAGUGGCGCAUGAAAAAGGCUGUGGAAGAAUUAAAACCUUCAACAACUCCUUAGAUCAUACGUAUUUGGAAUAAAGUCCAACAAAUAAGAAAAAAGAUUAACAGUGGCCAAACAACUUUUCUAAAUACGUUUUACAAGCAUCACACCCGUCUCAAAGUACAAAGGUUGAAGUACAAGAUUAAGUAUUCUACAAGUAACUGGAGUAAAAGUAUUGCCAUGAGAAAAUUGUCAAACUUAAAGAUUAACCAUGAAAAUCUAAAGCAUCAAGUGCAAGCAAAUGGGUGGCAAGCAUGGCUUUGAUUUCACACGUAGGCGCUAUGUUUACAUAUGUACAUGUUGUCCAUAUUUUGCUUUGCUUAAUAUAUUAGGAGUUCAUCCCUAGCUAGCCUAUAACUUUGAUUGAAAACUUAUGAAUCUGAAACAUUUUGAUUUAAGGACA